UACGGAGGGGGCUAGCGUUGUUCGGAAUUACUGGGCGUAAAGCGCACGUAGGCGGCUUUGUAAGUUAGAGGUGAAAGCCCAGGGCUUAACCCUGGAAUUGCCUUUAAGACUGCAUCGCUAGAAUCGUGGAGAGGUAAGUGGAAUUCCGAGUGUAGAGGUGAAAUUCGUAGAUAUUCGGAAGAACACCAGUGGCGAAGGCGACUGACUGGACAAGUAUUGACGCUGAGGCGCGAAAGCGUGGGGAGCAAACAGG
rnacentral:rRNA from 1 species